rnacentral:rRNA from 1 species
UACAGAGGGGGCGAGCGUUGUUCGGAAUUACUGGGCGUAAAGGGCGCGUAGGCGGCCAACUAAGUCAGACGUGAAAUCCCUCGGCUCAACCGGGGAACUGCGUCUGAUACUGGAUGGCUUGAAUUCGGGAGAGGGAUGCGGAAUUCCAGGUGUAGGCAGGUGAAAUGCGUAGAUAUCAGGAUGGAACACCGGUGGCGAAGGCGGGUCUCUGGGCCGAUACUGA